ACGGGCUGCACUACCGUGCCCGGCCUCUUUCUUUGCUCAAUUCCUAUCCCAUGUUCUUGGCUUUCUUUCUCCUUUCUCUUCUGCCCAGCCCUUCUGAGACAGACACAUUCACCUGAGGGCCUCCCCGUGACAUCACACUGGGUUCAACAGUUCUGUCCCCAAAUGAUGCUUCAAUGAGGCUUCCCCCGACACCUCAACACAAACCUCAUUUACCAGCCACACAAAAUGCCUACCGAGGCCAUCCUAACUAUGGGUGUCUUUCUAUGGCUCCUCCAUGGAGCCCCUACUAGAAUAACAGACAAUAAGUGGAGCCAACACAUCCCCCAUCAGCUUGAAGAAGCUCCUGACAACAUCUAACCUUCCCAAGAUUGGAUUCUUUGCUCUGUCAGGGAAUAAUGAGGAGAGCAGGCCAUGAUAGAGACCAGAGAGAAAACAGUCUCCAAUACAAGCCUGACUCUGAAAGAACUCCUGGCCUUUCCUUCCAGCACUUCGGAGGCAAAUGAAGUGGAUCUCUGUGUGUGCAAGACAAGCCAGAGCUAUAGAAUGAGACCCUGCCUAAAAGCAGUGAAAUAAGCAAAGUAAUUAAUAACAAUAACAACAACAACAAUAAUACUUUCCCCAAACAAAAACUCUAGUCCCUACUCCACCUGUACAGCACAUGGGAGGAGAUGAACUGGCGCUCACUGCCAACCCCAGAGCUUCCAUCCAGACCCAGUGCUCACCACUCAGGGCUUCCCUCAUUUGCAGAUGUCGUCGUGGCCCACCCUUGGGACAGCCACAGCCCAUCAUUUUAUACCUGGGAUCACUGGCCCACUCCUAUGCGUCCUGCUCUAUUGGAUGAGCUAAGAAUGUAUAAUGUCCAGGCCCAGACAUAACUGACUCCUCUGUUCUCUGCUGGCAUCUUCACUCAAGUGCACACAGCUAAACACACACACACACAAAUGCAUAUACACCCGCCCCCAAAUACAUAAACACACUCCCACACACAAAUGCAUACACUCUCACACACACACAAAUAUAUACACUCUCCUACACACACAAAUAUAUAAAUAUACACACAUGCACACUCACACACACAAAUACAUAAACACAUAUAUACAUGCACACACAAAUACAUAAACAUACACACUUUAAAAUAAUAAAAAUAAUUGUAAAUUAAAAAUAUAUAAUAAAUCUUUCUCUAAAUUUUUUUAAAAAACCUUCCAGAAUAUCUGACCCCAGGAGGAAGGAAGUUCCACUUUUCAUUUUGUCCCAUUUUGCACUGGUCGAACUUUGGGUUUUUUUCACCAUACAUUCCAUAUAAAAUCAUGAUUACCCCACUGGUCCAGUGGGCGUUCUCCGUGAGCUGAUGCACUGGGCAGGCACUCAGCAGCAUUCC
rnacentral:lncRNA from 1 species